rnacentral:rRNA from 1 species
AAAUGAAUAGACGGGGGCCCGCACAAGCGGUGGAGCAUGUGGUUUAAUUCGAUGCAACGCGAAGAACCUUACCAAGAUUUGACAUCCCUCUGACGGGGUUAGAGAUAGCCCGUCCCUUCGGGGCAGAGGAGACAGGUGGUGCAUGGUUGUCGUCAGCUCGUGUCGUGAGAUGUUGGGUUAAGUCCCGCAACGAGCGCAACCCUUACCCUUAGUAGCGACCGCGUGAAGGCGAGCACUUUAGGGGGACUGCCGUGGAUAACACGGAGGAAGGCGGGGACGAGGUCAAAUCAUCAUGCCCUUUAUGUCUUGGGCAACACACGUGCUACAAUGGCUGCAACAAAGUGAAGCGAGCCGGCGACGGUAAGCCAACCACAAAAAAGCAGUCUCAGUUCGGAUUGCAGUCUGCAACUCGACUGCAUGAAGCUGGAAUCGCUAGUAAUCGCGAAUCAGAAUGUCGCGGUGAAUACGUUCCCGGGCCUUGUACACACCGCCCGU